GAUGAAGAACGCAGCGAAAUGCGAUAAGUAGUGUGAAUUGCAGAAUUCAGUGAAUCAUCGAAUCUUUGAACGCGCAUUGCGCCCCUUGGUAUUCCAUGGGGCAUGCCUGUUCGAGCGUCAUUUGUACCUUCAAGCUUUGCUUGGUGUUGGGUGUUUGUCCUGAGGGACUCGCCUUAAAGUAAUUGGCAGCCAGUGUUUUGGUUUUGAAGCGCAGCACAAGUCGCGAUUCAAGGCUAUACGCCAGCUUCCACAAGCCUUUUUCACUUUUGACCUCGGAUCAGGUAGGGAUACCCGCUGAACUUAAGCAUAUCAAUAAGCGGAGGA
rnacentral:misc_RNA from 1 species